CCUACGGGAGGCAGCAGUGAGGAAUAUUGGUCAAUGGCCGAGAGGCUGAACCAGCCAAGUCGCGUGAGGGAUGACGGCCCUACGGGUUGUAAACCUCUUUUGUCGGGGAGCAAAGAGAGUCACGUGUGGCUCAUUGCGAGUACCCGAAGAAAAAGCAUCGGCUAACUCCGUGCCAGCAGCCGCGGUAAUACGGAGGAUGCGAGCGUUAUCCGGAUUUAUUGGGUUUAAAGGGUGCGCAGGCGGAGGUGCAAGUCAGUGGUCAAAUUGCGGGGCUCAACCCCGUCCUGCCGUUGAAACUGCAUGCCUUGAGUGAGCGAGAAGUAUGCGGAAUGCGUGGUGUAGCGGUGAAAUGCAUAGAUAUCACGCAGAACUCCGAUUGCGAAGGCAGCAUACCGGCGCGCAACUGACGCUCAUGCACGAAAGCGUGGGUAUCGAACAGGAUUAGAUACCCCUGUAGUC
rnacentral:rRNA from 1 species